GAUGAAGAACGUAGCGAAAUGCGAUAAGUAAUGUGAAUUGCAGAAUUCAGUGAAUCAUCGAAUCUUUGAACGCACAUUGCGCCCCCUGGUAUUCCGGGGGGCAUGCCUGUUCGAGCGUCAUUUCACCACUCAAGCCUCGCUUGGUAUUGGGCAACGCGGUCCGCCGCGUGCCUCAAAUCGUCCGGCUGGGUCUUCUGUCCCCUAAGCGUUGUGGAAACUAUUCGCUAAAGGGUGUUCGGGAGGCUACGCCGUAAAACAACCCCAUUUCUAAGGUUGACCUCGGAUCAGGUAGGGAUACCCGCUGAACUUAAGCAUAUCAAUAAGCGAGGA
rnacentral:misc_RNA from 1 species